rnacentral:rRNA from 1 species
AGGACGAACGCUGGCGGUGUGCUUCACACAUGCAAGUCGAACGGAGUAGCAAUACUCAGUGGCGGACGGGUGAGUAACACGUGGGAAUCUACCAUUAGAUGGGGAAUAACAGGCCGAAAGGACUGCUAAUGCCGCAUAUGUAUGUGCCUCGACAGGGGCGUAUAUGAAAGGAGUAAUCCGUCUGAUGAUGAGCCCGCGUCCGAUUAGCUAGUUGGUAAGGUAAAAGCUUACCAAGGCGACGAUCGGUAGGUGGUCUGAGAGGAUGAUCACCCACAAUGGGACUGAGACACGGCCCAUACUCCUACGGGAGGCAGCAGUGGGGAAUUUUACGCAAUGGGGGAAACCCUGACGUAGCGACACCGCGUGAGCGAAGAAGCCCUUUGGGGUGUAAAGCUCUGUCAACAGGAACGAAAAAAAUGACGGUACCUGUGGAGGAAGCAUCGGCUAACUACGUGCCAGCAGCCGCGGUAAGACGUAGGAUGCAAGCGUUGUCCGGAUUUAUUGGGCGUAAAGAGUUCGUAGGCGGUUUGUUAAGUCUGAUGUUAAAGACCGGGGCUCAACCUCGGAAAUGCAUUGGAUACUGGCAGACUGGAGUGCAGUAGAGGCUAGUGGAAUUCCCAGUGUAGCGGUGAAAUGCGUAGAUAUUGGGAAGAACACCGGUGGCGUAGGCGACUAGCUGGGCUGUAACUGACGCUGAGGAACGAAAGCCAGGGGAGCAAAUGGGAUUAGAUACCCCAGUAGUCCUGGCCAUAAACGAUGGAUACUAGGCGUAGUGGGUAUCGACCCCUGCUGUGCCGCAGCUAACGCGAUAAGUAUCCCGCCUGAGUAGUACGGCCGCAAGGUUG